AGAUCAAAACCUUAACGAUCACCAACGACCGAAUGGCCCUUUCGGCUAACUAAGCUCUGGUACUCCACCUCACCUUUCUUUCUUCAUUUCUCCUCAGAUCUCUCCGUCACCACCACCAAAAACUCCCGGAAAAUGACGAAACCAGCACUUUACCUCCUUCUCUCUAUCCUCGUCCUCUCCCUCUCCAUACUCACUACCUCCGAGAUCAAAACCUUAACGAUCA
rnacentral:misc_RNA from 1 species